UCUGUAUAAUGAACAUCUGACACAAUUCUCCUUCAGUUUUCAUUUCAACAUUAUGUUCAGAAGAACUGACUAUAACAUUAAAGUGAUGAUAAAUUUCAGACUAUAAGAACAUUGCAAUAAAAAAUAUAUCAGUUUGCAAAUCAGAGGCGUAAUUAGAAACCACAGGGCCCAUGUGCAAGAAUCUAAGAAGGACCCCCCCUACCCCCCACCAAAAAAAAGGUAGAGAUACCCUGUGCCCACAGUCUGUGAGAUGGUCCGACCCCCUAUUACUGUAUAUAGUGACACUGUUUAACCCACCAGUACUGUAUAUAGUGAGUUAGUGACACAGUCUGUAAUCUGCCGGUGAGAUGGCUGGCUUGACCCUACCCGCUCCAGUACUUUAUAGAGUGACCACAGUAGUCUGUGACAUGGUCCAGCCCCCCGUACUGUAAUUAGGGUUGCCACCAGUCCCUUAAAAUUCAGAACACUUAUAAGUUACACAUGCUGCAGGGUGUGCAGAGAGGACUAUGAAUAGUGCUGUCCAGAAACACAAUACAUGUUCCUCCCUGCACAUCCUGCAGCAUGUGUAACUCAUAAGUGUCCAGGAAAACAUGGCUGAGGAGGCAACCGUAACUGUAUAUAGUGGUACUGUAUAGUGACACUGUUUACCCCCUGCCACCCCAUGCUGUAGUAACAAGGUCUGUAAUUUGCUGGUUCCACAAACAUACGCACACACACAUACAUGCAUAAAUACACACACACACACACAUACAUGCAUAAAUACACACACACACACAUACAUGCAUAAAUACACACACACACACACAUACAUGCAUAAAUACACACACACACACAUGCAUAAAUACACACACAGGGACCUAUCUAUCAAGCUCCGAAUGGAGCUUGAUGCCCCGUGCCCAGCAGUUAUGAAGCAGCGGCUCAGAGCAGGCGGACAGACAUCGGCGGAAAUCAACCCGAUCGAGUAUGAUCGGGUUGAUUGACACCCCCCUGCUGGCGGACCAUUGGUCGUGAGUCUGCAGGGGGCGGCGUUGCACCAGCAGCUCUUGUGAGCUGCUGGUGCAAUGCUGAAUAUGGCGAGCGUAUUGCUCGACGUAUUCAGCGAGGUCUGGCGGACCUGAUCCGCACUGUCGGAUCAGGUCCGCCAGACUUUGAUAAAUUGGGGCCACAGUCACAUACAAGCAUAAAUACACACACACACAUACAUGCAUAAAUACACACACAUACAUGCAUAAAUAGACACACAGUCACAUACAUGCAUAAAUAGACACACAGUCACAUACAUGCAUAAAUACACACACACAAAUACAUGCAUAAAUACACACACACACAUACAUGCAUAAAUAGACACACAGUCACAUACAUGCAUAAAUAGACACACAGUCACAUACAUGCAUAAAUACACACACAGUCACAUACAUGCAUAAAUACACACACACACAUACAUGCAUAAAUACACACACACACAUACAUGCAUAAAUACACACACACAAAUACAUGCAUAAAUACACACACACACAUACAUGCAUAAAUAGACACACAGUCACAUACAUGCAUACAUAGACACACACACAUACAUGCAUAAAUAGACACACAGUCACAUACAUGCAUAAAUACACACACACACACAUACAUGCAUAAAUACACACACACACAUACAUGCAUAAAUACACACACACAAAUACAUGCAUAAAUACACACACACACACAUACAUGCAUAAAUAGACACACAGUCACAUACAUGCAUAAAUACACACACACACAUACAUGCAUAAAUACACACACAGUCACAUACAUGCAUAAAUACACACACACACAUACAUGCAUAAAUACACACACACAGUCACAUACAUGCAUAAAAACACACACACAUUCAUGCAUCACCCGGAAGCCUUAAAACACUUGCCAAUGCACACCCUCAUUAGCCACCAUGUUUCCCUGCUUUACAUAGAUAGACAGCAUCGUGGGGCACAAGGGGUGCUGGAAGCCCUCCAAGCCCCUGUUGUUCAUGAUAUACCUGAUGAUGCUCUAGUUGCUGCUGAGGUCCCUGGUCAUGGUGCUGUAGCCGUCCCUGCUCCUGCUGCUGCUGUCCCUGGUGCUGCCCCUGCUGCUGUUGUUGCUGCAGCUGGUCAUAGAAUUACAUACUGCGGAUUUCCACUGCAUGCUUCUUGGAUGAGGGGGCUGAGGUGACUGUAGUGGAUUUCCUUGUUCUCCUGGUUUGAGAAGAUUCUGAUGUUUCUGCUGGUGUGAUGGCCACAGAUGAUAGGCUGGAGGCAGUGUCCUGCUGGUGUGUAAAGUGCUCAACCAACACACCCAAGAGUUGAUUUUGUUCUCGCCAUCUAUUGUCCAUCUGCAUCGGCAUAUCAGACAGAAUUCGCAUCAUCUGUGACAGGUUUUGAACACUUCAACUUAAUGAUGCUGCCAUGUCCCUCUGCAGCUCUAUGCUACAUUUGUGUAACCUCUCUUGGCUCCUGAAGAACCUCUAUUGGCUCCUGAAGAACCUCUCUUGGCUCCUGUGGAACCUCUCUUGGCCUCUUUGUCUGCUCUCGGAGCUUGUUAUGAGCCUCCUCUGGAGUGCAAUGUAUUCCUCACCCAUGGGAGAAUACAAUGCAUCCACAGGCUCUUGAGCAGCAGGGCUUCUAGUUGCUUGAGGUGCAGGUUCAGCUGCAUCUGCUGGUUCUUGUGGGACAGGUUCAGCUGCAUCUGCUAUUUCUUGUGGGACAGGUUCAGCUGCAACUGCUGGUUCUUGUGGGACAGGUUCAGCUGCAUCUGCUGGUGCUUGAGUACUUUCAGCUAUAUUUUCAUCUGCAGAUGGUGGAGCUCUCCCAAGUGAUGAGGAUGGCGGAGCUCUCCCAAAUGAUGAGGAUGGUGGAGCUCUCCCAAGUGAUGAGGAUGGUGGAGCUCUCCCAAGUGAUGAGGAUGGUGGAACUUGCCCAAGUGAUGAGGAUGGUGGAGCUCUCAGGAUUGUUUGAUAGUCCCACUGAUGACCAGUGUGUGACCACUCAGCCUGUCCAGUUGGCACUUCUUGUGACAUAGUCUGUGUGUAAAAUCCAUGACUGCCCUGAGAUUGUGUUGGGGGGGGGGGUAAAUACAUGGACCCUUUGUGGCUGUCUUGGCUCCCCCUCAAAGCCAAAAGAAGAAUAUUCCUCUGGCCAGGAAUCUUGCCAGGGGUCAUAUGUCAAUGGUGGUGGCAUCACUUCCGGAUCCUCAACUGAAGCCAUCCAACCCUGCUCAUGCCUGGUAGCAUACUGUUCAUAUGAUUGCCUGAAGACUGGUGGUGAUGGCUGCAUGCCUGUGACUGGUGGUGGUGGCGGCAUGCCUGUGACUGGUGGUGGUGGUGGUGGCGGCGAAUUGCCUGUUUGCAUCCUCAUGACAGGAGGUUCUGUGGAGGAGUCAAAUGAUGAGAGGGAUUAGUACAGUCAUAUAUAUGUCCAUGUGGGCAUACAAUGUACAUUGAUACAUGAUAGGGCCUAUACUGAUUCUCAUGUCAAACUCUAUAACAUGCAUGUGCACAUUGUGAUUUGUGUUUCAUACAAUAGUUAUGUGUACAUGUCAAUGAUGGAAAAAAUGUGUUCUUUAAGGGACAGUAUGGUCACACAAUUUACUUAAGCCUGAUGUAGGCACAGAACCUGCUUUCUUGACCUAAAAGUAUUGUGAUGGCUGGCUAUAGUGUCCAUUUACUGAAAACUCUACUGAGUCUACUGAAGAAGUUACAACUAUGAAACGCGUUUGACCUUGUUACCUUGCUGGCGUGUAUGCCUUUUAUGUGGAUUUCUAAAUAAAGGAGCUUUUUAUUCUUAA